rnacentral:rRNA from 1 species
CCGACAGCCUCUGCUUCGAUAUCCCAAGUAGCGCGGGACCGUGAAAACUGGCGUGAAUACUGCGGGGACCACCCCGUAAGUCCUAAGUAAUUCCUUGGCGACCGGAUAGUGAACCAGUACCGUGAGGGAAAGGUGAAAAGUACCCCGGGAGGGGAGUGAAAUAGUACCUGAAACCGUUGGUUUACAAGCAGUCAAAGCGUCGUCAUGCCUUCGGGCAUGGCCGCGAUGGCGUGCCUUUUGAAGAAUGAGCCUGCGAGUUAUGGUGUGUGGCAAGGUUAACCCGUCGUGGGGUAGCCGCAGCGAAAGCAAGUCUGAAGAGGGCGUAGAGUCGCAUGCUGUAGACCCGAAGCCAAGUGAUCUAUCCAUGGCCAGGCUGAAGCGGAGGUAAGACUCCGUGGAGGGCCGAACCCACGUCAGUUAAAAAUGGCGGGGAUGAGCUGUGGAUAGGGGUGAAAGGCUAAUCAAACUUGGCGAUAGCUGGUUCUCCUCGAAAUGCACCUAGGUGCAGCGUCGUGCGUUCAGUACCGGAGGUAGAGCACUGGAUGGGUAAGGG